rnacentral:rRNA from 1 species
CCUACGGGAGGCAGCAGUGAGGAAUAUUGGUCAAUGGGCGAGAGCCUGAACCAGCCAAGUCGCGUGAGGGAGUACUGCCCUAUGGGUUGUAAACCUCUUUUGUCGGGGAGCAAAAGCCGGACGUGUCCGGCUGUGAGAGUACCCGAAGAAAAAGCAUCGGCUACCUCCGUGCCAGCAGCCGCGGUAAUACGGAGGAUGCGAGCCUUAUACGGAUUUCUUGGGUGUAAAGGGUGCGCAGGCGGAGUUUUAAGUCAGCGGUAAAAUCGUGGGGCUCAACCACAUCCAGCCGUGGAAACUGGGGAUGUAGAGUGUGCGAGAGGUAUGCGGAAUGCGGGGUGUAGCGGUGAAAUGAAUAGAUAUCAGGAGGAACACCGGUGGCGAAGGCGGCCUGCUGGACUGCAACUGACGUUGAGGCCCGAAAGCGUGGGGAGCAAACAGGAUGAGAUACCCCAGUAGUC